GACGAACGCUGGCGGCGUGCUUAACACAUGCAAGUCGAGCGGUAAGGCCCUUUCGGGGGUACGACGAGCGGCGAACGGGUGAGUAACACGUGGGUGACCUGCCCUCAGCUCUGGGAUAAGCCUGGGAAACUGGGUCUAAUACUGGAUAUGACUCCACGGUGCAUGUCGUGGGGUGGAAAGCCUUGUGCGGCUGAGGAUGGGCCCGCGGCCUAUCAGCUUGUUGGUGGGGUGAGGCCUACCAAGGCGACGACGGGUAGCCGGCCUGAGAGGGCGACCGGCCACACUGGGACUGAGACACGGCCCAGACUCCUACGGGAGGCAGCAGUGGGGAAUCUUGCGCAAUGGGCGAAAGCCUGACGCAGCGACGCCGCGUGAGGGAUGACGGCCUU
rnacentral:rRNA from 1 species